GUGAAUCAGUGGCCAAGAUCUGCUAAAUAGAUGUUAAGUAAUUAAUUGUGGAGAAGAAAAAAAUGUUUGCUCAGGCGAUGAAAAUGGCCAAAAAUGAGGGGGUAGUGGGUGAAGAAGAAAGGACUUUUGAAUUAAUUUUUUUUAAAAAAAUAUUUUUUUUAUAAUUUUUUAUUUUUUUUAACCUAAAAAAGUUAUUCACUCGCCUUAAGAGGCGUGGAGUUACACACUUUUGCCAACUCAGACAUUCUAAUGCCACAUAAGUCUGUUCAAUGGUCAGAUAGAUUUGUUAAAUUAUGUUUUAUUGAGUAUAAGGGUUCAAUUGACAAAUGAUUAAGUAGAAAGGUUCAGAAUACAAACUGAUACAAGUAUAAGGGUCCACCAGACCAUUUUUCCAAAAAGGAAUGAGGCAGCCGACAUAGAAAAGUGAUCCCUGAGUUGGGCCCACACAAUUCAACAAAACAGUAGUAAUUUUUUAUAGGACAUAUGAGUCAUUAUGUAAAUGUUAAUUGGUUUUUUGGGAUACCUUUAAAGCAAGUGAUUACAAAGGCUUAAUGAAGGAAAAAGUAGAAAAUUCCAAAAAUACCCUUGUCUGCAAGCAGGCAUGUUGACACGAGAUUACAAAAGCUUAAUGAAGGAAAAAGUAGAAAAUUCCAAAAAUACCCUUGUCAUACAAGCAGGAAUGUUGACGAAGACAUGUCUGCUUGUAUACUCUUCUACUAUAUAUGUCACGCCCCUUUUCCGUCCGGCGGAAGGGUUUUUCCAAUUUAAGUGAGAAUAUUGAAUAGAGAUUGCUUUUUGUUUUCAGAGUCGCCACUUGGAAUUGAGUUAUGGUGUUCCAAGUCACCUUUAUGUUUAAUCUCUAAUCAAAAGAAAAUGAGUCUUUAUAUUGUCUGCGAACUAGAAAUUCGGGUAAGAAAUUUUGUUGACCGAGGAAAAAGUAUUAUGCAUCCCUCGAGUCCCGUGGUUCUAGCACGGUCACUUUUAUUGACUUAUACUUACUUUAAAAUAUUUUUGGAUAUAUUAUUUUCAGGCCAUGACUUGUUCGCAGUUUUAUUGUUGAACUUUUAUUUGGUCUCAAAUCGGAUGCAUAACUGCAUUCUCGACUUUUGACAUAUAAAUAGCAUAAGAGCAUAACUGCUUUCUUCUCUCGAGUGCAUCACCUAAUUUUAUCUAUAAGUAAUCUUAUUUUAAAUUAAUGAAAAUUAUUAUAUUUUGGACAAGGUGCGUCACCGCAUCCUUGAGUUUUUGUCAAUAUCUCAAAAAAGAUGCGCAACCGCCUUCUUAAUCGAAAACAAAUAUUUUUAAUGUGCAUAAAACUCAUCUAGUAUUAAAAGUACACUUGUUCGCAGUUUUAUUGUUGAACUUUUAUUUGGUCUCAAAUCGGAUGCAUAACUGCAUUCUCGACUUUUGACAUAUAAAUAGCAUAAGAGCAUAACUGCUUUCUUCUCUCGAGUGCAUCACCUAAUUUUAUCUAUAAGUAAUCUUAUUUUAAAUUAAUGAAAAUUAUUAUAUUUUGGACAAGGUGCGUCACCGCAUCCUUGAGUUUUAUUUUUCAAUGUCUCAAAAAAGAUGCGCAACUGCAUUCUUAAUCGAAAACAAAUGUUUUUAAUGUGCAUAAAACUCAUCUAGUAUUAAAAGUACUUACUCUUAUUUUUCUGAAUUCUAGACAACUAAUCUUCUCAUUUCAUUAUUAUAUUAAUUGAUGAUUCUUUUAAUUAAAUUAAUCCUCAUGUCAAAUGUUUUUUCAUAAAGUUACAUCAAAUUCCAUAAAUAGAGCAAAGAGAUAAAGUAAUGUUUAACCUUAAGUAAAGAGAAUAUGUACCGCAAAAUCUUGACUGAAGCUCGAUUAGAAAACCCACUAAUAUUUUGUUUGGUGUGUGGUGUUGGAUUUUGGUAGUGUGGGAUUUUUUUGGGUUUUUUGUCUCUGUACGUCGGAGUGUGUUUUGUUGAUCUUUUGUUUUUCUUUUCAAGUGGUGAGGGUGUAGGGUUUUUCGUAUGUGUUUUUUUUUUUUGCAGAUUUUUCUUCUUUUUUUUUUUCGUGUGGGUGUGUUGUGUAUUUUUGUAGUCCUUUGUUUCUUGGUUUUUGUGUUGCUGUGCGUUUAUCUAUUAGGAAUAUGUAUAUUUUAGUGUGUAUAGCGUGUGUGCGUCUGUGUAUUGAAUGUAUUCAAGUGGUGAGGGUGUUUAGGAUAGUGGGGUUGUGGUUAAGUGGGGGUGAGGGUAAUGGAGGAAAAAGGGGUAAUGUGAGGUGAAGUUGUGAGAUAUGGAAGGGUAAAUGGGAUGAGGAUAAUGGGUAUCUUUUAUAAAUAAAAUUAUAAUAAUAAAAUAUUAAUUAUUUUGAACUAAUAAAAAAAAUACUAAAUGGCUAAUUAAAAAAUAUAAUUAAGAAACACUAGUUUAUUUAUUAAAUCUAAAUUAAAAGAAAAGAUUAUUUUUCUUGUAACUUUUCAUUUCUUUUUUAAACAAUUAAAAAUGAACGUACCUUAAAAAGUGAUUCUAUUUUUGUUGUUUUCAAAUCUUUUAAAAUAAACUUGAUAAAAUAAGAUAAAAGUCAAAAUAUUUUAUUUAGAUUUAUAAAAAUAUUGAAGCUCUAAAAAUAGUGUAAAAUUUUAGGUUCGGUCAAAAAUUAUAUGUCUAUAGUUUGUCCCUCUUUGACUGGAAACACGAAGAGAUUUCAGACAAAGAAGUAGAUAACGUGACAAGUUUUGAUCGGACUUGUAUUUGAACGAAAAAUUUGUGCGGCCGAGUCUUGGUUUUGGACAUCCUACAUAUCCCGGGUUAUAAGGGAAUCAGGUCACAUGUUGUUCAAGGAGAUGAGGUGAUGAGUUGGAAGUUAAGUGAGGUUCCAUCGAGGCUCCAGGUCGCGGCUCCUAUCCUUACGUAAAAAGAAAUGAAAGUUAAUAGUCAAAUGGAAUAAAGGUACAAGCUCCUAGUUAUGCAGCUUCUCUUGAGUCUACACUUGAGUCUUGACUUUUAGAUAUCACCUUGAUUUCUUGGGUGAGUAUGUUGAUCUUGAAUUGAAUUUGAUGUUUAACUUGCCACUUAGAGUGAGUUUUUGGCACUCUUCAAAAUGACAAUUUGAAUAUGUUCUUGAAUGACUGUAUGUUUUCUUGAUCAGAAGCUGAAUAAAAAUAGAUGUGAGAAAGUCAAGCUACUAUAUGCCUUGAAGAUGCUGAUUCUGGCUAUCAUUGGAUUGAUCAUUCUUAAAAGAGUUGAAACUUUGUUCUUGAACUUCAAAUUCAUGUUUCGCUUGAAGAAACUAGAAAACCAUCACAAACAAAAGAAAUAAACAAAUUCUUUGCCCAAUUUCCACUGGAAAAAUUUUGUGAGUUAUUAGCAGAUGUGAAUUUAAAAAUAAAAAUAAACUCAUACUAGGAAGUUCUUAUCCUAGGAGAAAAAUAAAAAUAAAAAUUAACGGUCUCAAAUUAGGAAGUGUUUAUCCUAGUAGAAAGUAAUCAAAUCCCAUUAUGUAGGAGGGUCCUGUUAAUCCCAUUGUCCAGGAGGGUCCUGCUACACUAAUUUUCAUUGUUUAGGAGGGUCCUGCUACUCUAAUUCCCAUUGUUUAGGAGGGUAAUGCUACACUAAAUCCCAUUGUUUAGGAGGGUCCUGCUACACUAAAUCCCAUUGUCCAGGAGGGUCCUGCUACACUAAUUUUCAUUGUUUAGGAGGGUCCUGCUACUCUAAUUCCCAUUGUUUAGGAGGGUAAUGCUACACUAAAUCCCAUUGUUUAGGAGGGUCCUGCUACACUAAUUCUCAUUGUUUAGGAGGAUCCUGCUACUCUAAUUCUCAUUGUUUAUGAGGGUCUUGCUACACUAAUUUUCAUUGUUUAUGAGGGUCCUGCUACUCUAAUUCUCAUUGUUUAGGAGGGUCCUGCUACUCUAAUUCCCAUUGUUUAGGAAGGUCCUGCUACUUUAAUUCUCAUUGUUUAUGAGGGUCCUGCUAGUCUGAAUCUCAUUAUGUAGGAGGGUCCUGCUAGUGUCCCAUUAUCCAUACAAUUACCAUAACAUUAUCCAGGAGGGUCCUGCUAGUGUCCCAUUAUCCAGGAGGGUCCUGCUAGUGUCCCAUUAUCCAGGAGGGUCCUGCUAGUCCCAUUAUCCAGGAGAGUGUCCCAUUAUCCAGGAGAGUCCUGCUAAUUCCAUUAUCCAUGAGGGUCGUGCUAGUGUCCCAUUAUCCAAGAGGGUCCUGCUAGUGUCCCAUUAUCCAAGAGGGUCCUGCUAGUGUCCCAUUAUCCAAGAGGGUCCUGCUAGUCCCAUUAUCCAGGAGAGUGUCCCAUUAUCCAGGAGAGUCCUGCUAAUUCCAUUAUCCAUGAGGGUCGUGCUAGUGUCCCAUUAUCCAAGAGGGUCCUUUGCUACUCCCAUUAUCCAGGAGGGUCCUGCUAGUCUCAUUAUCCAGGAGGGUCCCCUACUAAACUAAAUCACAUUAUGUAGGAGGGUCCUACUAGUCCCAUUAUCCAUGAGGGUCCUGCUAGUAUAUAUCUCAUUACUUAGGAAGAUCUCGCUUAACAGAAUCAUUAAAUAUAAUCACAACUCUUUUUUUUUGACCCCCAGUUUGCACCAGAAAAAUAUUAUUUAAGCUAUUAGCAUAAAUGAGAAAAGCUUAUACCAAAGAAAAGUGCAUGACAUAGAUGCAAUUAGGGUGUUUGUUCCCUAUAAAUGAAAGAUGGUAGGGUGUUUGUUUCCUAAGGUCAAAAUGCAAUUAGAGUGUUUAUUCUUUAGAAAUGAAAGAUGAUGCAUCUAGGGUGUUUAUUCUCUAAGGUCAAAAUGCAAAUAUGGUCUUUGUUCCCUAGUAAUAAGAGUGGUUUUUUUUUACAAAUAAAAACAUGCCCAAUUUUUAAAUUGAGGAACUUCGAAACUCUUUUUAAUUUAUCAUUUUUUUAAAAUUUUUGAAUUUUUUUUACAUUUUUUAAAAUGAUCCAAUUUCAUUUCUUCAAAGAUAUAAAAUUUUAUUAUGUGAAACAGAGCCCUAUUGUAAGACUGCCUACGUAUCUUGUAUAGCAAGAAUCAGGUCAAACGUAGUUCAUAUAAAUAAAAAAAUAUUACUUAUUUUUUGAUUAUUUUUUACAAAAGACCUCUUUUAAAAUAAUACUAGAGGAGAAAAGAAAGAAAUUAAUUCAUGGUUGAGAUUGUUUUUACUUUAGUUGGUACCAACAAUUAGUAUUAUGCAUAUGAAUCACUUUCAACUACUUUCUAACAAAUUUGAGGUCAACUUUGAGUAAUUCCUAUAGUUUCAAAUGGUAUCUCAAACAUUCUCAAGUAUUAAAUAAGAUCAGUUUAUCUUGCCUAAAUUAAGAGACUAGAAUUUUUCAUAUCCUCAUGUUUCAAGUGCCCUUACCACAAAUAAAGUCCUUUUUCACGCACUAUAGAAUAAUUUAGAUUGUAGGACAUUUUGAUAGUCACUCACACUCGGAAAGAUGUUGAAUGCAUAAUAUUGAGAUACCAUAUGCUUGGCCCUCAUGUAAGUAUCCACUAAUAUGAGAAUACAAAAAAUGAGAUCAAAUAUGACUUGUCAUUGGCUUGUAAUGUAGGCUUACAAAAAGCUAGGGUAUACAUUUGGGAUAAAGUCACUAUUUCCUCCUUAAAAUUUGCACAAUGCUUUCAAUGUUUUUUUCAUUUCCACAUUUGACCUUUGUUUUCUCAAAAGCUCUUCAUUUAUUUUCCUUUUUUUUCUUUUUUUUCAUUGGAGAUUUUUUUUCAUUUUUCUUUCUAGCUUUUCUUUGUCAUUUUUUUUACUUUCACAUAUUUGAUCUAUUCACUUUGUUACCAACUAAGGUCUUUGGCGCUGUAUAGAUAAUUGAUAGUGCGCUCAGAAAGGUGGGACCAAGGUAUAGCGCAUUUAUGCACUCAAAAGGAUAUAUGCUAAGAUGUGAUUAUUUAAAUAAAAAGGUUUUAUGCUCGAAAUGGAAGUUUUAUGGAUAACUUUCAUUUGGUAGGCUUGAAAGACACAAUUGGAUCAAAGAAAGCUUAUAAUCCUUUCCCAAGUUAAAUGUUGCUCAAAAUUUCGCUUCAACCUACAUUCGGGCCAAAUUCUAGAUCAACAAACUCAUUCUUUUGAAUUUUAUAUCUAAAGCUCACCACACAAUGCACAUGAAACAAUGAGGUCGAAUUUGUUUUAGCCUUAACUUUAAGCAAAACAGUUUCUCAAAUAUUACAUAAAUAUAUCAAGAGAUACCAAAAGAAGUCGAUAGGUCACAACAAAGUUGGUCUGUCUUGCCAAAUAGUUUAACACUUUCUUUCUUUUUUUCCUUAUGCAUAUUUCUAAACAUGUUGGUACCAACAAAGUCAAAUUUUCUAGAUUAAAAUUUUUUUCUUGAAGAAAUGUCGUACCCGAAAUAGAUUUUUCAUCUUUUUUUUAGAUAUUAAAAUAAGGAAGAGAAACAUUUUUAUUUGAACUUUGAAUUUUUAUUUUAUUUUUAAAAAAAAAAUUGCGCCAAUUUUUGUGAUGAGGACUUUCUAGAUUUUUCCUUGAUUGGACUGAACCUCAAAAUAAGGUUGCCUACGUAUCUUGUCAAAACAAGAAUCAGGUUAAACGUAGUUCAGGAAGAUUAUAAACACAACAUUAUUUUUAAUAAGAAUCACCGAACCCGAGGAGGAUUGCCUACAUAUCUCAUAGAGUUGAAAAUCAGGUGUGCGUAGUUCGUUCAGAUUGGAUAGUUAAAUAAAGGCUUAAGUCAUCGACGGCCCCUUAAAGUUGUCAGCAUAUUUCACUUAGACACCUCAACUAAGGUUAAUACCUAUUGAAUACUUUUGUCUAUUCAAUCUUGUUCCUAUUAGACAUUUUUUGAUAAUAAGUGAAAAAUGUAAAAAUGUGUGUGAUACACUCUCGAUGACGUGGCAAAAUAAUUAAUGAAAAGAUGACAUGUGGCAAGUGGGCCCCAAAAACUAUGGAAGAAUGAUUUUUAUAUUAAAUUUUUUUUUUACUACAAAUACAUUUUCAAUCUUUUUAAUAUACAUAACACUGAAUAUAAUAACACAUUUUUACCCGGCCCUACACUACCCCCACCCCCUUUCUUCUACCGUUACACCUUUCUUCUUCUUCUUCUUCUUUCCGGCAACAUUUCUCUUCUUAAACCACUCUAUAUCUUCUCAAACUACUUGAAGACUCAAUUUUUAAAAAAAUAACAACAAUUUUCCGUACCUAAUACGUGAGAGAAAGAUAUAAAGUGAGACUCGUACAAGAGUGAUGAAGAAGUAGAGUUUGUUAACAAAGUAAUUAUUUCAAAUCGGAUGCAAAGAGAAAUCAAGAGGACCCAAAUUAAUUUUAUCGAAUUCUUUGAUUUUAUUUUUUAUAAGUUAAAUGAGUUUAUAUUUUAAUUCGAAUGGUGAUGUUUGUUUGGAGGUGCUGGAAAUGGAGCUGGCGGCUAAAUUUUUAUACUUCAAUGUCCAAUUAUUUUUUUCUGGCAGAGCUAAUUAGUUGAUUUUCAUUACUCCAAUGUCCAAAAAUCCUGUUUCUUCUUUCUUUAGUAGAUCCAAUUAUUUGAUUUUAAAAAAAAAAUACACUGUAAGUUUGAUUUUGAAAAUAGGUGAAGAAGACGACUGAAAUUAGGGAGGAAGGGGGUGGGGGAUUUUCCUUUUUUGGAUUAAUUUUUUUAAAAAUUAUUUACAAUGCCAACUGUAAGUUUUUUCAAAAAAAUAAAAUAAUUAAAAUAUGAUUUCAGAUGUCAUCACGCGCCAAAAGAAGGUGAAAAGCACUUUUUCUGCCAUAUCAGCAUUUUGUGUUUAAUAGGUACACUUUUUGAACAAUUUAGGUGUUCAAUAGGUACUGACCCUAGUUCAGGUGUCUAAAUGAAAUAUGCGGACAACUUUAAGGGGUCAUCAAUGACUUAAGCCAUAAAUAAACUUUAAGACAUUUACACUUGACUUAACAAAUGCAUUAUUUUUCAAAGAAUUAUGAAAGCAAAAUCUUUUGAUUUUUUUUAAUGUACAAAAGAAACUAAAAAUAAUUUAUUUAUUUAUUUUUGUAAUUUUUGUUAAGUAGUGAAAAAUCUUUCAUUUCAUUUUUUUUAAAAAGGUAUAAUAACUUCUAAAAGAAGAAAUAUUUUUAUGUUUUCUCCCUUUUUCUUAUUUUGUAAAAAUCGAAAGAUAACAUUUUCUCUCAUUCCACUAAUCAUACUAAAAUGAAUCAACUUGUCAAGACUUUUUGAAUAAAGGCAUUUUCAUAUAGCACAUAAAAUGAUCUAACUAGUAAAAUACGAUAGGGGUACAUGUCAUAGACGGAUACGACCCUUGGGUCGAGUCCCACUAAGUCAAAUGCAAAUGAUGCAAAUAAGCGGAGCCUUCUAGGGAUAAACCUGUUUAUAAUCUAGUUUACUAGGUUCAAACCUAAAUAAGAUAGGUAUCUAGACUGGCUUACCUGAGUGGACAACUCGAGCUAGGGAGGGGCAACUUAUCAAUAGCAGCGCUUUUCCCACUUCAUUGUUGAUCCAACUCCGUCUAACAUGGGUGACUAAAAAUCCUUUACUGGGUAUCAAGACACUCCAGCUUUAUCUCAAUAGAAGUAGGAUGCAUAAUUGUAUUCCUGUGAAUAUGUGUAAAGUGUUACUAGAGACUCAGAGUGAUUGAGUAAGAGAAAACAAUAUAAUACAAUUCAACAAUAUAAAAGCGAUAAAAAAAAGGCAAAAAGUAGCACAGUAGGCCAUCAUACACAAUUUAUCCAAAAAAUACAAUAAUAAAAUAAAGUAAGAGUCAAUAUAAUAAAGGUCAAAUUCAGGUUAUUCCCCAGCAGAGUCACUAGAGAUGUCACACCCCUUUUCUGUCGACGGAAGGAUUUUUUCAAUUUAAGUGACAAUAUUGAAUAUGAUUUUAUUUUUUUUAGGGUCGCCACUUGAAAUUGAGUUAUGGUGUUCCAAGUCACCUUUUUGUUUAAUCCCUAAUCAAAAGGAAAUGACUAUUUAUAUGGUUUGCGAACUAGAAAUUCAGGUAAGAAAUUUUGUUGGUCGAGGGGAAGGUAUUAGGCAUCCCUCGAGUCCCGUGGUUCUAGCGCGGUUGCUUUUAUUGACUUAUACUUACUUUAAAAUAUUUUUGGAUAUAUUAUUUUCAGGCCAUGACUUGUUCGCAUUUUUAUUGUUGAACUUUUAUUUGGUCUCAAAUCGGAUGCAUAACUGCAUUCUCAACUUUUGACAUAUAAAUAGGUUAAGAGCAUAACUGUUUUCUUCUCUCGAGUUCAUCACCUAAUUUUAUCUAUAAGUGAUCUUAUUUUAAAUUAAUGAAAAUUAUUAUAUUUUGGACAAUGUGUGUCACCGCAUCCUUGAGUUUUUUUCAAUGUUUCAAAAAAAAUGCGCAACCGCAUUCUUAAUCGAAAACAAAUAUUUUUUACAAAUAUUUUUAAUGUGCAUAAAACUCAUCUAGUAUUAAAAGGUACUUACUCUUAUUUUUUCUGAAUUCUAGACAACUAAUCUUCUCAUUCCAUUAUUAUAUUAAGGCCUAAUCCAUCGAUGACCCCCUAAAGUUGGCACCAAUUUUCCCUUAGACACCUUAACAAGACUGUUCAUUUUAGACACCUGACGUAAGUUUUUGUUGUGUCAUUUUGACACUUUUUGCAGACACGUCAUAGAGAGUGUGAUCCACUCGUUUAUUGCGCGUGAAAGUUUUUUAAAUCAAUUUUUAAUUAUUUUUUCUUCUUCUUCCCCAUUUUUAGCCUCCAUUUUUCAAGCUCAACUCCAUCCAUGGCGAAUGUUUUAAAUUUUUAAAAAAAGACCUAUUUCAAGAUUUAAAUAUUGCAAUAAUCAUGAAAUUCUUUUUUGGAGGAAUUUACUAUUGUAAUAUGGAAGUGGAUUUGAUUUUUCCUCUUCCUUCACUGACCUUCAAACUGUGCUUCCACUGUAAGUGCUUUUUUUUUUUCCAGUUAAUUUUAAUUAUUUCUAUUCAAUUUUACUGUUUUGUUAUUGAUUAAGAAGAAUGUGAAUUCAUGACUUAGCUUUAUUCUUCUAAGGGUUGGUGUAUGAUUGAGAAGUGGUGAUUGUGGGAGGGGUGGGGGGGGGGGGGCAGCGUUUCUGCAAAAUUGUUAUUUUGGAGAAGACAAUGAGAAGGUUGCAAAAUAUUUUUUGUUAAUUGGUUAAAUGUUUUUUUUUAAAUUAUGUGGGCAAAAAUGCCACAUGUCAUCGAUUCAUUGGCUACAUUUUAAUUUUCUCAAAAUUCAUUAUUUAAGAAUGAUUUUAGGCACAAAUGGUGAAUGUCGUCAUUUAAUUGGACACUUUACACGUCAUUUGCGAGUGCAUUACACACACAUUACAUAUUUUUGUUGAUUGUAAAGAAAGUGUUAAAAUAACACAACAGAACCUUACAUGAAGUGUUUAAAAUGAACAAAGUCUAGUUAGAGUGUCUAAGUGAAAGUUAGUGCCAACUUUAGGGGGCCACCGAUGGGUUAGGUCUUAUAUUAAUUGAUGAUACUUUUAAUUAAAUUAAUCCUCAUGUCAAAUGAUUAAACUAAUCCAAAAUGGAGUAAAUUCAAAUUUAACAACAUGACACAUUUGUUUGUUUAUUGGGUAAUGACUCAUUUAUUUCAAAAAUACAUAAAUUAAAAUAGGCAAUUGGCAUCAACAUUAAGCUACAACAAUGCUAUAAAAACGAUGGCAUAGGAACGACAAAAUUAAACAACAAAAAAAAAAUCUACCAUAAUAAUAGGAUUUUAUUCAUCUUUUAGGUAUUUUGCACUAAAAAUAACAUUAAAUAUAACUCAAGAUGUCAAUAUUCAUUUUCAGUCAAAUUAUGAAUGUAACAAAAUAUAAGAAAGCUUAUCAUAAAGUUACAUCAAAUUUCAUAAAUAAAGCAAAGAGAUAAGGUAAUGUUUAACCUUAAGUAAAGAGAAUAUGUACCGCAAAAUCUUGACUGAAGCUCGAUUAGAAAACCCACUAAUAUUUUGUUUGGUGUGUUGUGUUGGAUUUUGGUAGUGUGGGAUUUUUUUGGGUCUUUUGUCUCUGUACGUCUGAGUGUGUUUUGUUGAUCUUUUGUUUUUCUUUUCAAGUGGUGAGGGUGUUGGGUUUUUCGUAUGUAUUUUUAUUUUUAUUUUGCAGAUUUUUCUUCUUCUUCUUUUUCGUGUGGGUGUGUUGUGUAUUUUUGUAGUCCUGUGUUUCUUGGUUUUUGUGUUGUUGUGCGUCUAUCUAUUAGGAAUAUGUAUAUUGUUGUGUGUAUAGCGUGUGCGUCUGUGUAUUGAAUGUAUUCAAGUGGUGAGGGUGUUUAGGAUAGUGGGGUUGUGGUUAAGUGGGGGUGAGGGUAAUGGAGGAAAAAGGGGUAAUGUGAGGUGAUGUUGUGAAAUAUGGAAGGGUAAAUGGGAUGAGGAUAAUGGGUAUUUUUUAUAAAUUAAAUAUAUACAAAAUUAUAAUAAUAAAAUAUUAAAUAUUUUGAACUAAUAAAAAAUACUAAAUGGUUAAUUAAAAAAUAUAAUUAAGAAACACUAGUUUAUUUAUUAAAUCUAAAUUAAAAGAAAAUAUAUAUAUAUUUUUGUAACUUUUCAUUUCUUUUUUAAAUAAUUAAAAAUAAACGUACCUUAAAAGGUGAUUCUAUUUUUGUUGUUUUCAAAUCUUU
rnacentral:lncRNA from 1 species